rnacentral:misc_RNA from 1 species
AUCAGCGCCGUGCAGCAGGU